rnacentral:rRNA from 1 species
GUGGGGAAUUUUGGACAAUGGGCGCAAGCCUGAUCCAGCAAUGCCGCGUGCAGGAAGAAGGCCUUCGGGUUGUAAACUGCUUUUGUACGGAACGAAACGGUCCUGGCUAAUAUCCGGGGCUAAUGACGGUACCGUAAGAAUAAGCACCGGCUAACUACGUGCCAGCAGCCGCGGUAAUACGUAGGGUGCGAGCGUUAAUCGGAAUUACUGGGCGUAAAGCGUGCGCAGGCGGUGCUGUAAGACAGGCGUGAAAUCCCCGGGCUCAACCUGGGAAUUGCGCUUGGGACUGCAGUGCUGGAGUGCGGCAGAGGGGGAUGGAAUUCCGCGUGUAGCAGUGAAAUGCGUAGAUAUGCGGAGGAACACCGAUGGCGAAGGCAAUCCCCUGGGCCUGCACUGACGCUCAUGCACGAAAGCGUGGGGAGCAAACAGGAUUAGAAACCCUGGUAGUCC